rnacentral:rRNA from 1 species
UACGGAGGAUGCGAGCGUUAUCCGGAUUUAUUGGAUUUAAAGGGUGCGUAGGCGGGAUGCCAAGUCAGCGGUAAAAAUGCGGUGCUCAACGCCGUCGAGCCGUUGAAACUGGCGUUCUUGAGUGGGCGAGAAGUAUGCGGAAUGCGUGGUGUAGCGGUGAAAUGCAUAGAUAUCACGCAGAACUCCGAUUGCGAAGGCAGCAUACCGGCGCCCUACUGACGCUGAGGCACGAAAGCGUGGGUAUCGAACAGG